rnacentral:tRNA from 1 species
GCCCUCUUAGUUUAGUGGUAAAACAGUGGUAUCGUAAACCAUAAAUGUCAGUUCGAUUCUGGCAGAGGGCU